rnacentral:rRNA from 1 species
AGUUGAUCAUGGCUCAGGAUGAACGCUAGCGACAGGCUUAACACAUGCAAGUCGAGGGGCAGCAUAGAAGUAGCAAUACUUGGUGGCGACCGGCGCACGGGUGAGUAACGCGUAUGCAACCUACCUAUCGAGAGGGGAAUAACCCGGCGAAAGUCGGACUAAUACCGCAUAAAACAGGGGCACCGCAUGGUGAUAUUUGUUAAAGAAAUUCGCUGAUAGAUGGGCAUGCGUUCCAUUAGGUAGUUGGUGAGGUAACGGCUCACCAAGCCGACGAUGGAUAGGGGAACUGAGAGGUUGGUCCCCCACACUGGUACUGAGACACGGACCAGACUCCUACGGGAGGCAGCAGUGAGGAAUAUUGGUCAAUGGGCGGGAGCCUGAACCAGCCAAGUCGCGUGAAGGAAAGAAGGAUCUAUGGUUCGUAAACUUCUUUUGCAGGGGAAUAAAGUGCAGGACGUGUCCUGUUUUGUAUGUACCCUGAGAAUAAGGAUCGGCUAACUCCGUGCCAGCAGCUGC